rnacentral:tRNA from 1 species
GGAGGUGUGGCCGAGUGGUUUAAGGCAACGGUCACCGUCGACUGUAACAGGUCCAUGAGUUCGAAUCCCAUCGCCUCCGCCA